GACGAACGCUGGCGGCGUGCUUAACACAUGCAAGUCGAACGCUGAAGGCCUGGCUUUUGUUGGGUUGGAUGAGUGGCGAACGGGUGAGUAACACGUGAGUAACCUGCCCUCUUCUUUGGGAUAACGCCCGGAAACGGGUGCUAAUACUGGAUAUUCACUGAUCUUCGCAUGGGGGUUGGUGGAAAGGUUUGUUCUGGUGGGGGAUGGGCUCGCGGCCUAUCAGCUUGUUGGUGGGGUGAUGGCCUACCAAGGCUUUGACGGGUGGCCGGCCUGAGAGGGUGACCGGUCACAUUGGGACUGAGAUACGGCCCAGACUCCUACGGGAGGCAGCAGUGGGGAAUAUUGCACAAUGGGCGAAAGCCUGAUGCAGCGACGCCGCGUGAGGGAUGGAGGCCUUCGGGUUGUAAACCUCUUUCGCUCAUGGUCAAGCCGCAACUGUGGGUUGUGGUGAGGGUAGUGGGUAAAGAAGCGCCGGCUAACUACGUG
rnacentral:rRNA from 1 species